rnacentral:rRNA from 1 species
UAGGGAAUCUUCGGCAAUGGACGGAAGUCUGACCGAGCAACACCGCGUGAGUGAAGAAGGUUUUCGGAUCGUAAAGCUCUGUUGUAAGAGAAGAACGAGUGUGAGAGUGGAAAGUUCACACUGUGACGGUAUCUUACCAGAAAGGGACGGCUAACUACGUGCCAGCAGCCGCGGUAAUACGUAGGUCCCGAGCGUUGUCCGGAUUUAUUGGGCGUAAAGCGAGCGCAGGCGGUUAGAUAAGUCUGAAGUUAAAGGCUGUGGCUUAACCAUAGUACGCUUUGGAAAACUGUUUAACUUGAGUGCAAGAGGGGAGAGUGGAAUUCCAUGUGUAGCGGUGAAAUGCGUAGAUAUAUGGAGGAACACCGGUGGCGAAAGCGGCUCUCUGGCUUGUAACUGACGCUGAGGCUCGAAAGCGUGGGGAGCAAAACAGGAUUAGAUACCCUGGUAGUCCACGCCGUAAACGAUGAGUGCUAGGUGUUAGACCCUUUCCGGGGUUUANUGCCGCAGCUAACGCAUUAAGCACUCCGCCUGGGGAG